AUGGAGAAUAAGAGGUGGAACAGCCUCGACUCGUGGUCGAUGCUGCUUGACGCGGGAGGCGGCGCGGACCAGCAGCAGGCGAGCUCGUCGGCGGCGGAGGAGUGGAUGGCGGACCUGUCGCAGCUCUUCCUCGGGAACAAGUUCGCGUCGGGGUCCAACAGCCGCAUCUACCGCGGCAUCUACCGACAGCGCGCGGUGGCCGUCAAGAUGGUGCGCCUCCCGGAGCGCGACGAGGACCGGCGGCGCGCGCUGGAAGACCAGUUCAACUCGGAGGUGACCUUCCUCUCGCGGCUCCGCCACCCCAACGUCGUGCAGUUCGUCGCCGCGUGCAAGCGGCCGCCCGUGUACUGCAUCAUCACCGAGUACAUGUCGCAGGGCACGCUCCGCAUGUACCUCCACAACAAGGACCCCUACUCGCUCUCGCCGGAGACCGUGCUCCGCCUCGCGCUCGACGUCGCCCGCGGCAUGGAGUACCUCCACGCGCAGGGCGUCAUCCACCGCGACCUCAAGUCGCACAACCUGCUGCUCAACGACGAGAUGCGCGUUAAGGUCGCCGACUUCGGCACCUCAUGCCUAGAGGCGCACAGCUCACGGAAGGGUACCAACAUGGGCACGUACAGGUGGAUGGCGCCCGAGAUGGUCCGUGACAAGCCGUGCACCCGCAAGGUGGAUGUGUACAGCUUCGGCAUCGUGCUGUGGGAGCUCACCACCUGUCUGGUGCCGUUCCAGGGCAUGACCCCCGUCCAGGCCGCCUACGCCGCCUGCGAGAAGAACGCUCGGCCGCCGUUGUCGCCGACGUGCCCGCCGGCGUUCAACAACCUCAUCAAGAUGUGCUGGGCCGCCAACCCGGCCAGGCGGCCUGAGUUCAGCUACGUCGUGUCCGUCCUGGAGAAGUACGAUCACUGCCUCCGGGAAGGGCUCCCGCUGGUUACGCCGCCGUCGCCAGUGUCCUCGUUUCUCAGCAUCUUCAAGCUCGGCUCCUGCAUAAGCACCACCAACCUCCCCUCCAUGCCCGUCCACGUCUAA
rnacentral:rRNA from 1 species